ACAAUGGUGGUUCAAUGGUAGAAUUCUUGCCUUCCACGAGGAAAACCUGGGUUUGAUUCCCAGCCAAUGUA
rnacentral:tRNA from 1 species